GCUCGGGUGUUUUCGCUUUGAGUUUCGACAUCCUGAGGAGAAGGCGUGGGCGAGGGCAGAGAAACCGCUGUUAAUGUUCACCCGCUCCUUUUCAAACCAGACCCGGGGAGUGUCAGCCCCCCUGGCCCUGUGCUCUGGGGGGACCAGGGCUUCCUGGAAACUAGGGAGCUGAGAGGGCUGGUGGCAUGGGACCACGGUGGAGAACCUGGAAGGCCCACACUGGCUGCCGUGUCCUCCUGCCUCUCUUCUCGGGAGUCAAUCCAAGCCCUCCAGAUCCCAGGAGCCUCAUUACAAACCCCUCGGAGGAUAAACACACCACUACACCCUUCAGCAACAAGCCUUCCCCCGAUAACAAACCCUAGCCCAGAGCACUGCCAGCCCCUGCCCCAGCCCCGAGUGUGCAGUCUAGGGCUCUGCACAUGAGCCUCCUUCAUGCCCACCCUGGUCACCACCAAGGGCUGGGGGUGCACGGCUCACGCCGAGAAGCUGGGACAUUAGCAGGGGCUUUCGAGCAAACAAUUUUAGAUACUCCAGGUCCCUUCAGCACUGGAGGUCCUGCCACAUUUGAACGCAUGUCGCACCAACACCCCGGAUGGGCAGGCGUGACCUAGAUCAGCAAGCCCACAUGUGAUUGGUGAGCUCUUCCUUCCCUUCUCUAGCAGGCAACAUAAGAGUUGCUGCCUCUGUUCUGAGAGGAGCAGAGGAGACGGCUUCCACACACGAGUCAAGUCGCAUCCGAGACCCGGAGAAGAAUGAACAACGUAAAGGCUGUUCUCCUGGUCGGCACCCUCCUCCUCAUGAACCUCAUGUCUCUCUGCAUGGCUGGAGGUGUGACUAUCAAAGCCACAACUACCCCUAAGAAAAACCUGGCUGCACCCUGCUCUGCAGCAGCGCCCCUGCUCCUGGCAUUUGCGCUGAUGGCGGUGCACUUCCUCCGAGCCCGCUGAGCGAGGGCCUGACCUCCCGGUCCCGAGAUGCAUCCAGUCCCCUCCACCCACCACUGCAGUUUGCAGCGUCUCCUGGAAGCUUCGCUGCCAUUUGCCCAGCCAGCACAUCUGCUCCCUGCCACCGCCUCCCUCCGCUCAGCCUCAUUGGCCAUCCGCUUCCUGCCUCGUUUCCCACCUGAGCUGUUUGCAGCAGGGAUGCUUGCCUGACUUCAGGACACCUGCCUGACCGCAGUCCCGGACAGAAUGAACCUCCUUGCAGUGGGGGGGAGAGACAGCGGGGCGCCAGGCUGUGUUCUGUAGUGGGCUGGCACGUGUAUUGUCUGUGCCAGGCCCAGCCAUUGCAGCCUAGAAACCUGUGUCUUGGAAAUGCACUAGAAAUAAAUGCUUCGGGGGUACCUGUACCCUCAAGAGACACCCAG